AGAGCGAACGCUGGCGGCAGGCCUAAUACAUGCAAGUCGAACGGAUCCUUCGGGAUUAGUGGCGGACGGGUGAGUAACACGUGGGAACGUACCCUUUGGUUCGGAACAACUCAGGGAAACUUGAGCUAAUACCGAAUGUGCCCUUCGGGGAAAAGAUUUAUCGCCAUUGGAGCGGCCCGCGUCUGAUUAGCUAGUUGGUAGGGUAAAGGCCUACCAAGGCUACGAUCAGUAGCUGGUCUGAGAGGAUGAUCAGCCACACUGGGACUGAGACACGGCCCAGACUCCUACGGGAGGCAGCAGUAGGGAAUCUUGCGCAAUGGGCGAAAGCCUGACGCAGCCAUGCCGCGUGAAUGAUGAAGGUCUUAGGAUUGUAAAAUUCUUUCAGCGGGGACGAUAAUGACGGUACCGCAGAAGAAGCCCGGCUAACUCGUGCCAGCAGCCGC
rnacentral:rRNA from 1 species